rnacentral:misc_RNA from 1 species
UAAUGUCAUCAUUCCAUCAUCGGAAGAUCAGUACCUCUACUCGGAAGGACGUUAUCCGUACGCAUUAAUCAAACGUGCGCUGAACAGAGACUCCCUGGUGGCUUCUCUCAAUAAUGCGGAACGAUUACGAUUUGGCCGUAAAUAA